rnacentral:rRNA from 1 species
AUUGAACGCUGGCGGCAGGCCUAACACAUGCAAGUCGAACGGUAACAGGAAGCAGCUUGCUGCUUUGCUGACGAGUGGCGGACGGGUGAGUAAUGUCUGGGAAACUGCCUGAUGGAGGGGGAUAACUACUGGAAACGGUAGCUAAUACCGCAUAACGUCGCAAGACCAAAGAGGGGGACCUUAGGGCCUCUUGCCAUCGGAUGUGCCCAGAUGGGAUUAGCUAGUAGGUAGGGUAACGGCUCACCUAGGCGACGAUCCCUAGCUGGUCUGAGAGGAUGACCAGCCACACUGGAACUGAGACACGGUCCAGACUCCUACGGGAGGCAGCAGUGGGGAAUAUUGCACAAUGGGCGCAAGCCUGAUGCAGCCAUGCCGCGUGUAUGAAGAAGGCCUUCGGGUUGUAAAGUACUUUCAGCGGGGAGGAAGGGAGUAAAGUUAAUACCUUCACUCAUUGACGUUACCCGCAGAAGAAGCACCGGCUAACUCCGUG